rnacentral:lncRNA from 1 species
UCCACCAAGGGUCAGUAUCUCACAAUUUUGUUGACUAAUAUAUCUCAGUUUUACUACCAUCACGUCUCGGUAUGCCCUCACUAACCACUCUUGUCCCACGAGAUGUCAGUCCAUGGUCACACAAUACCCACGACAAACCUCCCUCCCAGGUUGUCCACACCAGCAUGUCAUAUGAGUCAUGAGGUAGUACCCACUUACCAUAUGCAU